rnacentral:lncRNA from 1 species
AAUGCUUUCCUACUGAAAACUGAGGUUUUGAUCAAAGGAUUUGCUUUCCUCCACAAAAUUUGUUUUGCAGCACGUGAUGUUGGACUGUCUCGCAAAUGGUAACUCCCACGUUUAAGGAGAAUGCUCUUAAUGAACUGCCUUUAAAAAGAAAAAACACAUACAGAGGAGAUGGAAAGUCUCCCUGGAGAGUCUCAGGAGAUGCCCAGAAGACAUCUCCAGGGUCACGUAAUUCUUUGAAUCCUACCCAACUUUUGCUGAAGUUAAUUGAAAAAACUCCCAUUGACUUGAAGAGGUUUUGGAUCUGGCUCAAAGUGCUCUCCGUGGCAGCAGAUUGCAAGAAGGAACCCCACUGUGCAAUUCCAGCCAUCUGCCUAUGGAUAAGGCUUGAUGAUACAAAUGUGUUUGCUUGGAACAUGCAGUAAGGCACUUCGCUUCCAAUUAGGCAGUGCUUCAGACCGAAGGAGAUCUCUGCCUCUCACCUGUGGCCUCUCUUAUCUAAGAUCUACUCUGACCUGGUGAUCUUUAAAGUAGCAAUAUAAGCUGAUGCACAGCAAUAUCACAAGUUGCUUAUCUCUGCUUUGCUUAUGUAAAAAGGUAACCUAGUGCUAGGUUAAGCUCACGUUGAGAUUCCUGCAACUCAGCUGGUUGGGUGUAGUGCUGUUUGCUUGAGACAGGACAAAAUGUCCCUGCUUACAUCUCAAACCUGAGCUUAGUGAUAUCAUUGUCAUUAUCAAUCUUUUACUGUAUCAACCGUGGGAUUAGAAAAGGGAACUGUUUCAGAAACAAAGCAAAGG